rnacentral:lncRNA from 1 species
AAAAAAAACUCUAAACUUCAUAAACACGUGCUCUCUCUUUACAAACUUUAUUUAUCUCGCACAACCCUCUCUUCCACUGUCGAUUGUGUCCCUCCACCUCACCCCCAUUGGCGCCGCCGACUCUCUCCAUUCGUUGUCAUCCAUCUAUGACCUCUUAUCUCUUUGUUUGUUGCUCUAAUAUAAAGGUAAGCAUCUAUUUUAAUCUCUUCAUCUUUGUAUCCACAAAUAGAAUAGUUUUUUUUUUUAACGGAAGAGUUCUUCUACUUUGAACCCUAGGGUUUCUCUUUUUAGCAUUAUUCCUGGUCAACGAUUUGGUCAAUAAGGGAAUCUAUGAGGUGAAUAAGGUAAUUAAUAAAACAAUUGUGUUGAGUUUUUUUUUUAAAAAAAAAAAAUUCUUUCAUUGAAGGAUUUUGUGUUGUCUUUAAGAUUUUUUCAUUCCCGAUGAUUUUUUUGUGAUCGAGAAAACAUAAUCAAUGAAACUUGUAUCUAUAGUGAUUAUAAACUAUUUGAUUAAAGUAGUGAACGAAAAUUGUAUCUAUAAUUUGCAAAUUUCAUGUGAAGUUUUACUUGGCUUUGACUUUAUUUACAAACUAGAUAACUCACAAUUGAUAAGAGUUCGUAGAUGUUGAAGAUUUUCACAGACAAUAUUUAUUGGUUAGUUUAACUCCAAUAUUUUUGCUCAUAUUUUCAGUUAUCUUAAUAUUAGUGUAAUUUCUUUCGUAAGUUCUUUCUUUAUUUAGUUCAGCAUUAUCUUUCAAAUAGUUGUUUGAAUUUAUGAUGUAAUUAAACUCAUUUUGGUUUCAGGAAAGACAUUCAGUAAGUUUUAAAAGAAGAUUAUUAGAACUCUGCCUAUUUUUUAAAUCUUUAAAAGCACAUGAUGAAUUCUAGGUAGAAAAAUUCGAUUCUUCUUCACUAAUUCUUCAGAUUGUCUUAAUUUUUGUUUUGUUGUCAUUGAUGUAGGUUAAUCAAUAUUUUUACUAUAAAGUUGUUUAAUUUAUGUGUUUGAAUAUGUAGAUAUUCAAUGACAAAUCACAAUAUAAGAGAGAGUUCAUCGACAAAAUUCAACAAGAGGGUCCAAUAUGCAAGUAGUUGAAGAGCUAAAGCAACAAGAAGACCAAGAUAAUGAAGAAAAUACGAUAAAACGAAGACAAUUAAAAAAACAUAAAAAUAUAGUUUAUGUUUAAUGUAUGAUUUUUUUUGUGCGAAUUACUUGAAGAAUUUGAUCUUUUUUAUUUUGUUUCAAAUAUUAUUUUCUUAAUGAAUUUAUUAAAUAGUAAUAAUAAGAAUAAUAUUUC